GGGGAUUUAGCUCAGUGGCAGAGCGCUUGUCUAGCAUGUGCAAGGGCUUGAGUUCAGUCCUCAGUUCAGUCCUCA
rnacentral:tRNA from 1 species